CCUAACUCUUUGAAGGUUGUGAGGGCAGCGCCGAAGGCAGAGUCGAAUACCGAUGCUAAGAGUGGAGUUCAGAAGUUUAGGGUCAAGCUGUUGCCUGAAAGUGGUGGCCAAGAGUGUCAUGGAUGUUCUCUGUAUGCCUUACUUCAAUAGCUGGGAAUAUCAUCAACUGAAACAAGUGAGAAAGUUGGGACAUUUUCAUUUGCAUAUGCAGCUCACAAGGCCGCAUCUCCGAUAAAGUUUCUGCCUACAGUUGCCCUAACUCCAUUGUUGCUUCCUGGAUUUCAAGAAAGUAGAUAAAGAUAACUAAUCCCAGAAUAUAUGACUACUCUGUAUAUGACUUUUCUUCCAUUUGUGUAAUACCAGAAUAUGUUAUUGGAUACGUAGCAGAAUCAACUCUUUGUCAUUUCA